CGCCAGACUCCUACGGGAGGCAGCAGUGGGGAAUAUUGCACAAUGGGGGGAACCCUGAUGCAGCGACGCCGCGUGGGUGAAGGAGUAUUUCGGUAUGUAAAGCCCUAUCAGCAGGGAAGAACAAUGACGGUACCUGACUAAGAAGCACCGGCUAAAUACGUGCCAGCAGCCGCGGUAAUACGUAUGGUGCAAGCGUUAUCCGGAUUUACUGGGUGUAAAGGGAGCGCAGGCGGCGCGUUAAGCCUGGUGUGAAACCCCGGGGCUCAACCCCGGGCAUGCAUUGGAAACUGGCGGGCUGGAGUGCCGGAGAGGUAAGCGGAAUUCCUAGUGUAGCGGUGAAAUGCGUAGAUAUUAGGAGGAACACCAGUGGCGAAGGCGGCUUACUGGACGGCAACUGACGCUGAGGCUCGAAAGCGUGGGGAGCAAACAGGAUUAGAUACCCUGGUA
rnacentral:rRNA from 1 species